ensembl:lncRNA
AAAGAGAAGAGGUCAGCUCACUCUCAAGGGAGACAAGAACAAAAGGGGUCUGCAGUCUUAUGAACCCUGAGGCUGGAGGGAGGAAGCAGAGAGAGGAUUAGGAGUAGAAAAUUACUGAGUACUGAGUUAGAAGGAGAAAAAAUGUCUUCGAGUCUACCUCUCCUCAAUAAAGAGGUCUGAGUAGAGGCAACUUACAAAGGCCUCAGCGAAAGGCCACAAAUAAAGAGGGCUCCACCUGAGGACACUGGGGUCAAGAACACAGCUGUAUAAGUUUAAGAGCUUGGCCCACCAGUUGCAGUUGCCUGAAACUCCCUUCAGAAACUGUAAUUCAUUCUGUCCGCACCAAGUCAGCUGUGACAAAGCCAGCUCUCCCCGAGGCCUGCCAGGUUGGAGAGGAUGUGGAGAGAAGGAAACCCUCGUACACUGCUGGUGGGAGUGAAAACUGGUGCAGCCACUAUGGAAAGCAGUAUGGAGUAUCCUCAGCAAAUUAAGAAUAGAUCAACCAUAUGAUCCAGCUAUCCCACUGCUGGGUAUUUAUCCAAAGAACUUGAAAACACAAAGUCAUAAAGAUACUUGCACCCUUAUCUUCAUUGCAGCAUUAUAAACAAUAGCCAAGACUUGGAAGCAAACUAGGUGCCCAUCGAGGGAUGAAUGGAUAAAGAAGAGGUGUGAGCAGUGUUUCCUGGAGAUAUAUUGGCUAAAGUGAGAAGUGGAGAUACAGAUUAAUUGAAAAUCAAUUUUUGGAAUAGAUAAUGGGCUCUUAGAUAGCAUCCCAUUGGCAGCCUUUCAAAUAUCGUUCCAUUUUCUGCAGGCCUUAAUUAUUUCUGAUAAGGGUUCAACCCUUGUUUUUCUUCUUGGAGACCAGCUUGCUGAGCCAUCGUUAAGAAAUUGUUUGCUGUUAGAGAAAUGAUUGUGGAGCUCAUCUCAUGAACAUCCAUGCUUCCAAAAUUUGAGGUUGUGUUCUGCCUGAUGGCCAAGUUAUAUUAACUCUUGCCUUACAUAUUUUACCUGAUUGUUUGUUUGUUUACAGUGGAGGGGCUAAUCCAUUGUUAACUACUUCAUCAUACUUGGAAUUGAAAUCUCCGAGUUGAUAUGUAAUAUUUGGUAUUAAUAAACAGACAUACAUAAAACUUAAUUUCAUCUGCCAAAGAAAAUAAAAUUGUUUUCAACUUCGUUAAAAUAAAAGUAAAGUUAUAGCUCACAUAAUUUCAGGAUGGUAAGAGCACAGUGCUUGUAUCCUCAUCUCAUAAGAAGAUGAGUCAAUGGAUAAGGUUUAAAGUUGUCUAAAGUUGAUAUUUUAAUUAAAAAUCCACUGAAGUUUUAAAAUGUGUAACUCUUCCGUAUCUAGUGGAAUAAAAAUAACGGUGAACAGAGUGAUUUUAAUAAGAUAAAUUGUCAUCUUUUGUUAUAAUAAGUCACUAGUUCCUAUUUAAUACUGAUGAGUCAAAAAUCAGAACUAUGGAAAUAACCAUGAGAAAUAUUGCAUAUUAAUUGCUGGAAUACAAUAUUAUUGAAGGAAGAUGGAAAACAAUAAAUAGGAAACUUCCUCUUCUU